rnacentral:rRNA from 1 species
UACGGAGGGGGCUAGCGUUGUUCGGAAUUACUGGGCGUAAAGCGCGCGUAGGCGGACCUGCAAGUCGGGGGUGAAAGCCCGAGGCUCAACCUCGGAACUGCCUUCGAUACUGCGGUCGUCGAGUCCGGGAGAGGUGAGUGGAAUUCCGUAGUGUAGAGGUGAAAUUCGUAGAUAUUAGGAAGAACACCAGUGGCGAAGGCGGUUCUCUGGGACGGUACUGACGGCUGAGACGCGAAAGCGUGGGGAGCGA